GAUGAACGCUGGCGGCGUGCCUAAUACAUGCAAGUCGAGCGAACAGACGAGGAGCUUGCUCCUCUGACGUUAGCGGCGGACGGGUGAGUAACACGUGGAUAACCUACCUAUAAGACUGGGAUAACUUCGGGAAACCGGAGCUAAUACCGGAUAAUAAAUUGAACGGCAGGGUUCAAUAGUGAAAGACGGUUUUGCUGUAACUUUUAGAUGGUUCCGCGCCGCAUUAGCUAGUUGGUAAGGUAACGGCUUACCAAGGCAACGAUGCGUAGCCGACCUGAGAGGGUGAUCGGCCACACUGGAACUGAGACACGGUCCAGACUCCUACGGGAGGCAGCAGUAGGGAAUCUUCCGCAAUGGGCGAAAGCCUGACGGAGCAACGCCGCGUGAGUGAUGAAGGUCUUCGGAUCGUAAAACUCUGUUAUUAGGGAAGAACAAAUGUGUAAGUAACUAUGCACGUCUUGACGGUACCUAAUCAGAAAGCCACGGCUAACUACGUG
rnacentral:rRNA from 1 species